ACGUAGAUGCAAGAUUAAUUCUAUAUAGUAUUCUAUUUUAAUAAAAUUGAUACAUGAUAAUUUAUAGUCCAAUUGAAAAAGUAAUCAUUAUAUUUUAAUAGCUCAACUGGAAAAAGUAACACUUAUGUUUUAUGAUUUAAUUUAGUAUUUUAUGAAUCUUAAGAUAUUAUAUUAUAUAUUUAUGAUGUAUUUUUACACAAAGAUAUUUAUUAUACAUAAAAUGUACAAAAAUAAUAAUAUUCAGAAUAUUUCUUAUUUUUCUCACUUUUACUUUAGGGUGGACCACACACUAAUGCCCCAAAUAGUUUUCGAACAAAGAAU
rnacentral:lncRNA from 1 species